UACGUAGGGUGCGAGCGUUGUCCGGAAUUAUUGGGCGUAAAGAGCUCGUAGGCGGUUUGUUGCGUCUAUCGUGAAAACCUGCAGCUUAACUGUGGGCUUGCGGUGGAUACGGGCAGACUUGAGUUCGGUAGGGGAGACUGGAAUUCCUGGUGUAGCGGUGAAAUGCGCAGAUAUCAGGAGGAACACCAAUGGCGAAGGCAGCUCGCUGGGACGGUACUGACGCUGAGACGCGAAAGCGUGGGGAGCAAACAGG
rnacentral:rRNA from 1 species